rnacentral:rRNA from 1 species
AGAGUUUGAUCAUGGCUCAGAUUGAACGCUGGCGGCAGGCCUAACACAUGCAAGUCGAGCGGUAGCACAGAGAGCUUGCUCUCGGGUGACGAGCGGCGGACGGGUGAGUAAUGUCUGGGAAACUGCCUGAUGGAGGGGGAUAACUACUGGAAACGGUAGCUAAUACCGCAUAACGUCGCAAGACCAAAGUGGGGGACCUUCGGGCCUCAUGCCAUCAGAUGUGCCCAGAUGGGAUUAGCUAGUAGGUGGGGUAACGGCUCACCUAGGCGACGAUCCCUAGCUGGUCUGAGAGGAUGACCAGCCACACUGGAACUGAGACACGGUCCAGACUCCUACGGGAGGCAGCAGUGGGGAAUAUUGCACAAUGGGCGCAAGCCUGAUGCAGCCAUGCCGCGUGUGUGAAGAAGGCCUUCGGGUUGUAAAGCACUUUCAGCGGGGAGGAAGGCGAUAAGGUUAAUAACCUCAGCGAUUGACGUUACCCGCAGAAGAAGCACCGGCUAACUCCGUGCCAGCAGCCGCGGUAAUACGGAGGGUGCAAGCGUUAAUCGGAAUUACUGGGCGUAAAGCGCACGCAGGCGGUCUGUCAAGUCGGAUGUGAAAUCCCCGGGCUUAACCUGGGAACUGCAUUCGAAACUGGCAGGCUAGAGUCUUGUAGAGGGGGGUAGAAUUCCAGGUGUAGCGGUGAAAUGCGUAGAGAUCUGGAGGAAUACCGGUGGCGAAGGCGGCCCCCUGGACAAAGACUGACGCUCAGGUGCGAAAGCGUGGGGAGCAAACAGGAUUAGAUACCCUGGUAGUCCACGCCGUAAACGAUGUCGAUUUGGAGGUUGUGCCCUUGAGGCGUGGCUUCCGGAGCUAACGCGUUAAAUCGACCGCCUGGGGAGUACGGCCGCAAGGUUAAAACUCAAAUGAAUUGACGGGGGCCCGCACAAGCGGUGGAGCAUGUGGUUUAAUUCGAUGCAACGCGAAGAACCUUACCUGGUCUUGACAUCCACAGAACU